rnacentral:tRNA from 1 species
UGGGUCGUUGCCCGAGUGGUUAAAGGGGGCGGAUUGUAAAUCCGCUGGCCACGCCUACGCUGGUUCGAAUCCAGUUCGACCCAG